rnacentral:rRNA from 1 species
GACGAACGCUGGCGGCGUGCUUAACACAUGCAAGUCGAACGGAAAGGCCCUGCUUUUGUGGGGUGCUCGAGUGGCGAACGGGUGAGUAACACGUGAGUAACCUGCCCUUGACUUUGGGAUAACUUCAGGAAACUGGGGCUAAUACCGGAUAGGAGCUCCUGCUGCAUGGUGGGGGUUGGAAAGUUUCGGCGGUUGGGGAUGGACUCGCGGCUUAUCAGCUUGUUGGUGGGGUAGUGGCUUACCAAGGCUUUGACGGGUAGCCGGCCUGAGAGGGUGACCGGCCACAUUGGGACUGAGAUACGGCCCAGACUCCUACGGGAGGCAGCAGUGGGGAAUAUUGCACAAUGGGCGGAAGCCUGAUGCAGCAACGCCGCGUGCGGGAUGACGGCCUCCGGGUUGUAAACCGCUUUCGCCUGUGACGAAGCGUGAGUGACGGUAAUGGGUAAAGAAGCGCCGGCUAACUACGUG